CACGUAGGGCGCAAGCGUUGUCCGGAAUUAUUGGGUGUAAAGAGCUCGUAGGCGGUCUGUCGCGUCUGCUGUGAAAACUCAGGGCUUAACCCUGAGCUUGCAGUGGGUACGGGCAGACUAGAGUGAUGUAGGGGAGACUGGAAUUCCUGGUGUAGCGGUGAAAUGCGCAGAUAUCAGGAGGAACACCGGUGGCGAAGGCGGGUCUCUGGGCCAUAACUGACGCUGAGGAGCGAAAGCGUGGGGAGCGAACAGG
rnacentral:rRNA from 1 species